UGCCAGACUCCUACGGGAGGCAGCAGUGAGGAAUAUUGGUCAAUGGGAGAGAUCCUGAACCAGCCAAGCCGCGUGAGGGAAGACGGCCCUAUGGGUUGUAAACCUCUUUUGUCGGAGAACAAAACCCGGGACGUGUCCCGGACUGCGUGUAUCCGAAGAAAAAGCAUCGGCUAAUUCCGUCCCAGCAGCCGCGGUAAUACGGAAGGUCCGGGCGUUAUCCGGAUUUAUUGGGUUUAAAGGGAGCGUAGGCCGGCUUUUAAGUCAGCUGUGAAAGUCCGCGGCUCAACCGUGGAAUUGCAGUUGAAACUGGAGGCCUUGAGUGCACACAGGGAUGCCGGAAUUCAUGGUGUAGCGGUGAAAUGCUUAGAUAUCAUGAAGAACUCCGAUCGCGAAGGCAAGUGUCCGGGGUGCAACUGACGCUGAGGCUCGAAAGUGCGGGUAUCAAACAGGAUUAGAUACCCUCGUAGAA
rnacentral:rRNA from 1 species